CUCCGCGCCGCCGUCCUCCUUGCUAUUGGCUGGCCGCGGCGCCCGCUUCCUCUGAACUCUCCCGGGCGGGACACCGCGCGCCGCGGCCUCGCGCUCCUGCUUGGGUUUCCGGACCCCUCUGCCUGAAGGAUCUUCAGGGGUCCCCGGACUCCUCCGCCUGGGAGCCUCCAUGCGCCGCGCGCAGCCCCCGGCAGGUCCGAGGGGAGGCGUCAGCGGCGACCUGGUGGCGCCUCGCGGCCCUGCUCCCUGGGCUCAGCGCCGCCGCGGGCGUUUACAGCUUUUGUUUUGGGCAGAACCUAUGGGCCCAGAAAGCCGGAUCGAGGAGCGGUGGCUGAAGAACGAGCUGGAGCUUGAAUUUCGCUUUUCUUAUGAGGGAUUUUCCAGAAAAGAUAUCUUCACUGUGAAAUAAGUAAAUAAAUGCCCACUGAGUCCAGCAAAAAUACCUUCUAUAUGCUUCCUUCUGUAUGAAUACAUAAGACCUACCUUCAUUCAAAUUUCCUCUAUGAAGCUUUCUCUGAUCUUCAAACAGGGCUGAGACUUCCACCUAACUUAGAAAGCUAGCACGAGCUGGUACUGACAGAUGGGAAGACUUGAGAUGUUAUAAGAGGAUAUAUGAACACAAAAGUAGUGGAGUUGAUGGAUUACAUGGCAAUUCAUUUGAGGAACUGAGCUUUUUCCACGGAGGCUGAACUGCUUUAUAUUACCACAAACAAUGUAUAAGGUUCCAAUUUCUCUACAUCCUCACCAACACUUGCUAUUUUCCAUUUCCUUAAUUAUAGCCAUCCUAGUGUACAUGAAGUGGUACCUUAUUGUGGUUUUGAUUUGCAUUUCUCUAUUGACUAAUGAUCUUGAGCAUCUUUUCAUGUGUUUUUUGGUCAUUUGUACAUUUUUAUUUUAUUUUAAAAUUUUGAGAAAGGAUCUUGCUAUGUUGUCCAGGCUGGUCUCAAACUCCUGGGUUCGAGUGAUCCUAAGGCCCAGUCUCUCAAAGGGCUGGGAUUACAGUUGUGAGCCGUUGUGCCCACACCAUUUGUGUCUCUCCUUUGGAGAAUAUCUAGGUUCUUUCGAAGGUAGCUGCAUGGAAACUAGUCAAAUUAACCGACUGUGGCUUUUAGACUGCUUUCCAUAUUUGUAAGAACUAUUUAGUUCUCAAAAGUGGGAAGAAAUGUUCAAAGGCAUCAUUAAUUCAUAAUCUAAAAAUUUAUUUCAGGUUUCCUUUUUUCCCUAGAUUCUGUAUCCUUCCUAGUCCUAUUCAUGACAUGGCUCUUUCAUCUCUGUAUUCUAAACCUUCAACAGAUUGUAGACACUAAUAAAUAUUUAUUGGAUGAA